AGAGUUUGAUCCUGGCUCAGGACGAACGCUGGCGGCGUGCUUAACACAUGCAAGUCGAACGGAAAGGCCCUGCUUUUGUGGGGUGCUCGAGUGGCGAACGGGUGAGUAACACGUGAGUAACCUGCCCUUGACUUUGGGAUAACUUCAGGAAACUGGGGCUAAUACCGGAUAGGAGCUCCUGCUGCAUGGUGGGGGUUGGAAAGUUUCGGCGGUUGGGGAUGGACUCGCGGCUUAUCAGCUUGUUGGUGGGGUAGUGGCUUACCAAGGCUUUGACGGGUAGCCGGCCUGAGAGGGUGACCGGCCACAUUGGGACUGAGAUACGGCCCAGACUCCUACGGGAGGCAGCAGUGGGGAAUAUUGCACAAUGGGCGGAAGCCUGAUGCAGCAACGCCGCGUGCGGGAUGACGGCCUUCGGGUUGUAAACCGCUUUCGCCUGUGACGAAGCGUGAGUGACGGUAAUGGGUAAAGAAGCACCGGCUAACUACGUGCCAGCAGCCGCGGUGAUACGUAGGGUGCGAGCGUUGUCCGGAUUUAUUGGGCGUAAAGGGCUCGUAGGUGGUUGAUCGCGUCGGAAGUGUAAUCUUGGGGCUUAACCCUGAGCGUGCUUUCGAUACGGGUUGACUUGAGGAAGGUAGGGGAGAAUGGAAUUCCUGGUGGAGCGGUGGAAUGCGCAGAUAUCAGGAGGAACACCAGUGGCGAAAGGCGGUUCUCUGGGCCUUUCCUGACGCUGAGGAGCGAAAGCGUGGGGAGCGAACAGGCUUAGAUACCCUGGUAGUCCACGCUGUAAACGGUGGGUACUAGGUGUGGGGUCCAUUUCCACGGGUUUCCGUGCCGUAGCUAACGCUUUAAGUACCCCCGGCCUGGGGGGAGUACGGGCCGCAAGGCUAAAACUUC
rnacentral:rRNA from 1 species